rnacentral:misc_RNA from 1 species
GAUGAAGAACGUAGCGAAAUGCGAUAAGUAAUGUGAAUUGCAGAAUUCAGUGAAUCAUCGAAUCUUUGAACGCACAUUGCGCCCGUCAGUAUUCUGGCGGGCAUGCCUGUUCGAGCCUCAUUACGCCCCUCAAGUCCCCUGUGGACUUGGUGUUGGGGAUCGGCGAGGCUGGUUUUCCAGCACAGCCGUCCCUUAAAUUAAUUGGCGGUCUCGCCGUGGCCCUCCUCUGCGCAGUAGUAAAACACUCGCAACAGGAGCCCGGCGCGGUCCACUGCCGUAAAACCCCCCAACUUUUUAUAGUUGACCUCGAAUCAGGUAGGACUACCCGCUGAACUUAAGCAUAUCAAUAAGCGGAGGA